CCUACGGGAGGCAGCAGUGGGGAAUAUUGCACAAUGGGGGGAACCCUGAUGCAGCGACGCCGCGUGAGUGAAGAAGUAUUUCGGUAUGUAAAGCUCUAUCAGCAGGGAAGAAAAUGACGGUACCUGACUAAGAAGCCCCGGCUAACUACGUGCCAGGAGCCGCGGUAAUACGUGGUGGGCAAGCGUUAUCCGGAUUUACUGGGGGAAAAGGGAGCGCAGACGGCUGUGCAAGUCUGGAGUGAAAGGCGGGGGCCCAACCCCCGGACUGCUCUGGACACUGGAAAGGUUGAGUGCAGGAGAGGUAAGCAGAAUUCCUAGUGUAGCGGUGAAAUGCGUAGAUAUUAGGAGGAACACCAGUGGCGAAGGCGGCUUACUGGACUGCAACUGACGUUGAGGCUCGAAAGCGUGGGGAGCAAACAGGAUUAGAUACCCGGGUAGUC
rnacentral:rRNA from 1 species